GUCGCGGGUAACCCCGGCGGGGGAGGGGAACCCCGGCGGGGGAGGGGAGCCCCGGCGUCCGGGUUUCCCGACGCGACCGCCUCACCCAGCGAUGAGGAAGAUGACACGCAAUGGAUCGGUGGCGAUGGUGAAGACAUAGAGGGCGAGCGCAGGCCCGAAGGCAAUGAAGGCGCAGCCGAAGAACACGGCCGCCGUCAUGGCCACCGCGGAAACCGACCCGGGGGCCCGCUGGCACGUUUGGAUAGUUGCGGGAACUUCGUACUCCAUCCUGUAUAAAACCUAGGCUGGGAUGGCAGUGACCCCGGCGAUAACCCACAGAUGGUAAAAUGAUGAAAGAGUGGUGGAAGAAGCUGCCCUCCUCAGGGCUGUUUUGGCCAAAUGGUUUUUAUUUUUUUCUCAAAUCUUCAAAAAAGUUGUUUUUUCAGGCAUUCUGUGACCACCCUACAAGCAAUAGUAACAUCUCCCUGCUCCGUCUUCUCACUGUCGUUCAUUUCACUUGCUUAUUUUUCUUCCCCGUUAAAAUGCGAACUCCUGGGGGACAGGGAGUUUGCUUUGCUCUUUGUUGCUUCCUCAGCACCUAGAAGUUCACUAAUAUCUGUUCAGUAAGUGAAAUAAUUUAAAAAGUGGAAGUUAUAAACACCUGUAUUAAUUUCUGAAAGGUUUAAAAAUUAAAACGUAAGUUCUCUGAUCAUUCA